GUUUUGCAUAAUUUUUUUCCAGACAACUUGCAGAAGCAGUGGCUAAUGGACCGUGGGUGGAGAAGACGGGCAAAGAUUUUGAUCCAUUUCCAGUUCAGUCAGAUGGACAGAGCUGUGGGAUAUUCAUGCUUAUGUAUGCCCUCUGCAUCUGUACUGGUGCCAUGUUUCACUUUUUGGACACUGACAUACCAUCUAUUCGGAAGUGGUGGUGUCUCCAGAUUCUGGAGAAAUUCUCAAUCGCAAGG